CUACGGGCGGCAGCAGACGAGAAUAGUCUACAAUGGACGAAAGUCUGAUAGUGCGACGCCGCGUGGAUGAAGAAGCAUUUCGGUGUGUAAAGUCCUUUUCUGUGUGAGCAAUGUUUUCCAGGUUAAUAGCUUGGAGAAAGCGAUAUUAACACAGGAAUAAGCUCCGGCUAACUCCGUGCCAGCAGCCGCGGUAACACGGGGGGAGCAAGCGUUGUCCGGAAUUACUAGGCGUAAAGGGUAAGUAGGCGGAAUUGUAAGUCAGAUGUUAAAGGCACCGGCUCAACCGGUGUAUGGCAUUUGAUACUGUAAUUCUAGAGUAAGGUGGGGGAAGACGGAAUUCCUGGUGUAGCGGUGGAAUGCGCAGAUAUCAGGAGGAACACCAGAGGCGCAGGCGGUCUUCUAUACCAUUACUGACGCUCAAUUACGAAGGUGUGGGUAUCAAACAGGAUUAGAUACCCCCGUAGUC
rnacentral:rRNA from 1 species